rnacentral:lncRNA from 1 species
UACAGCUUAUGUCUGAACAAUUUUGAUGAGACAUAGUCCAAAAACAUUUGUCUAGGGGAAGGCUUAAGUCACUCCGAGUGGAUAAACUGGCACGUCUAAGUCUCCUGCUUUGUAGGAAAUGUUUGCUGACCCCUGCCUUAGACUGUAAGUUUCAGGAAAAAAAGACUUUCUGAAUAUGUAAUUUUCUGCAUACAAUUCCUAAUCCAACUUUGUACUUAGGCCUUCUUCAAUAAAGAAUUUCGGAUGAAGUACAUGUUAUUCUGUAUGACAGUCUGUUGUUUCCAAGAGAAUAAUAACAAGCUGUCCUUGAAAAGAAUGGCUGGUGAUGGAAUUAGCUCUAGAGAAUUUAAGGUAGUAUUUGCCAAGAAAGAAGGUCAGUCUGAUAUUGUGUCAAACAUAUCCUUUAUUAACCUGAAUAAGUAAAUAUAUGAAUAAGUAAAUAUACCUAAUAAAUUACGAAGUGCUUGGUGAGUUACCUGACCAUUGUUUUUAAAUGUUCUCAUUAGCAUUUCUUGUCUGUAAUAAAUGAUUUUAAAUUUCGUGUUUCUCCGAAAUGGUAUUUUAAAUUCCCUGAAAGAAAUAUUCUCAAUUUUUCAUGGGAGAGAAUGGCUAGGAAAUUCUUUUUCAUAACUGUGAUCUAGCUUGUGUACUCAGGUAACUGAUAAAGUAAUGGAUCAGUCAUCUAUAGAAUACAUGCCUAUUCCAAAGUGGUUACUGCUGUAUGUCAUGGCAUCUGUAAUUGGCCUAAAAAGCGAUAAAUCUGUUUUUGUAAAGUAACCCAAAAGACCCCAUUAAAAGUGGUAUUUUAAAUGUCAGUGAGCAUGUAUUCUAUUUAAUUUAUGUUAAUAGGCCAUAAAUGGGAGAAAAUUGAUGAAAAAUAUUACCUUUUCUGCAUGUUAAAACUCAGGAGUAAUUAUUUUUCAUUUUUCACUUAAGGAUAAGCAGGUGUUUAACACAACAUUAAAUAAAUGCCUCAGUACCACAAGGUGAUAAAUGUGUAACAUUUAACAGAUGAGUAAAUUAAAAUUGUGUCUAAAACAGCACAAACAAGAAAAAAUUUAAAUAUGAGUACACACACAGUAUAUAACAUGGUGUGACACCACUUACCUACAAAGCAGGAGACUUAGACAUGCCAGUUUACACCUGAAAUGGCUUAAACCUUCCCC